rnacentral:rRNA from 1 species
CGGAACGGGUGAGUAAUGCGUGACCAACCUGCCCCAUGCUCCAGAAUAGCUCUUGGAAACGGGUGGUAAUGCUGGAUGCUCCAACUUGACGCAUGUCUUGUUGGGAAAGUGUUUAGUGGCAUGGGAUGGGGUCGCGUCCUAUCAGCUUGUAGGCGGGGUAAUGGCCCACCUAGGCUUCGACGGGUAGCCGGCCUGAGAGGGCGGACGGCCACAUUGGGACUGAGAUACGGCCCAGACUCCUACGGGAGGCAGCCAGUU